CUGGAUGUGAGUGAAUGUCUGUUUCGUGUGAACGGGACUCUUAUUUUGGCGAGGCGGGGUGACGUCAUAAGGCGGCGCCGCGCGAUUCUGCUGGAGGUGCAGAGCGGACAGCACAUCUCGACACCGUCACAGCAGAUGACCUACUAACCCCGGAACAACACUCAUCAGGAGAAAAGAGAAGCUCCUGCUGAAGAGACUGAGACACACUGUUAUAAAGAUGGAGAUUAUUAAAGAGGAGAGUGAAGACAUGAAGAUAGAAGACACAUUCAGAGACAAACAUGAAGAUACUGAGACACACACUGUUAUAAAGAUGGAGUUUAUUA